UAAUACGAAGGGGGCUAGCGUUGUUCGGAAUGACUGGGCGUAAAGGGCGCGUAGGCGGUUGACCAAGUUGGGGGUGAAAGCCCGGGGCUUAACCUCGGAAUUGCCUCCAAAACUGGUCGGCUUGAGUGUGGAAGAGGGUUGUGGAAUUCCCAGUGUAGAGGUGAAAUUCGUAGAUAUUGGGAAGAACACCAGUGGCGAAGGCGACAACCUGGUCCAUUACUGACGCUGAGGCGCGACAGCGUGGGGAGCAAACAGGAUUAGAUACCCUGGUAGUCCACGCCGUAAACGAUGAGUGCUGGAUGUUGGACGGUUGCCGUUCAGUGUCGAAGUUAACGCGAUAAGCACUCCGCCUGGGGAGUACGGCCGCAAGGUUGAAACUUAAAGGAAUUGACGG
rnacentral:rRNA from 1 species